UUUUCUUUUCUCCCUUCGCCUUCUCUCUUUAGCAAUUUCCUUCUCUCAAUGAAAAUAAAAGAAUCUUAGAAAUUGGUUGUGGCUAAAUGUUUAUGGGGAUUGAGCUACUUUUAUGAGGGAAUUUUUGAUACAAGUUGAAAGAGAUUUGGUUAAAGAUUUUGGGCGAGAAGCUAGGUUUUUGCCUAAGUUCUUGGCAGUGAAAUCAGUCAAGGUUUGAUGAUGUUUCCCUUUGAAUAGAUGGCGAACGGAUGAAAUUCAAGAGGUAUUAUUAGAGUUCUAUAGGGAUAAACAUUGAGUCUUUGUCUGGAUACAAAUUCGUAAGGGUUUUGAACUCUUAAAUCAGCGGGAAAACAGCCGAAUUGCGAGCCGUUGACGAUGGUUUAUGGUGACAAUUGUCUAGGAUUAUUAAUAUCUUGGAGUUUAUGGUUGGUUAGGAACUUGGGUCUGUUCCUAAUUCGAAUUUGCAGAGAUGGAGAAUGUAAAGGGCUUAGAAUGCAAUACCAAGGAUGUCUCACCCUCUCCAGUUUCAUGCAUGCAAACUGUUUGAUAAAAAUCCUGGAAGAAGACUUAUUUGUCUUUGAUACUAGCAUCUUGAGUAUGGGCGAGUUUCUCAAAAUAAUUUGAAGAUCCAGUUACUUGAGUGGCGUAUCGGAGAGUUGGAGUUUGCUAAGCGGGCCGAAACCCAUUUCGCUGGAAGUCCAAAUUUUCUGAUCCAUUACAAGUUUCGUCUUGUACCAACAUAGUUUAUGGAGAUCUCAUUGUUUGAGGUACAUCUUCCUCUUCAGGUGCAACUAGUUCAUUGGUAUUAGAUUGACCAAAGAUUUCAUUAGUAUUAGAUUGACCAAAGAUUUUAGAUAUGGUGGCUUUUUCUGGAAUUGCCACAUUUUGAUUUCUUUUUUCGUGGAACUGAAUCUUCUGCACCAAGAGGUCUUCCAGGAUGCUUUAAGCAUGUUUUGGACUUAUCAUGAUGUCCAUCUGGGAUAUUGACUCUUGCUGGAGUGUUUGCAGCAGGUAUAUGUGAUUUUGUUACCCUACCUGUAUUAGUAAAUGCACCAGGCAUUUGAUUUGCAAUAUUUUUCAAAUGUAUGAUUCUUUGAACCUCAAGUUCACAUUGUUUUGUACGAGGAUCAAAUUGGGCUAAUGAUGGUGUAUUCCAUAAAA